CAGUCGCCGCGGUAAUACGUAGGGUGCAAGCGUUGUCCGGAAUUAUUGGGCGUAAAGAGCUCGUAGGCGGUUUGUCGCGUCUGCUGUGAAAUCCCGAGGCUCAACCUCGGGCUUGCAGUGGGUACGGGCAGACUAGAGUGCGGUAGGGGAGAUUGGAAUUCCUGGUGUAGCGGUGGAAUGCGCAGAUAUCAGGAGGAACACCGAUGGCGAAGGCAGAUCUCUGGGCCGUAACUGACGCUGAGGAGCGAAAGCGUGGGGAGCGAACAGGAUUAGAUACCCCUGUAGUCCCUGUCUCUUAUAU
rnacentral:rRNA from 1 species